ACACCCCCACACGGGCGCCCGCGGCAGCGGGCUGAGAUCGCACUGAUAGGCCGUGCGAGCACCGUUCGAACCUGUCUGGUUAGCACCAGCGAAGGAAGUAAAGGAGAGGCAAUG
rnacentral:ncRNA from 1 species